CGGUAAUUCCAGCUCCAAUAGCGUAUAUUAAAGUUGUUGCGGUUAAAAAGCUCGUAGUUGGAUUUCUGUCGGGGAGCGGCGGUCCGCCCCAGUGGUCACCACACGGUUUGUUCUUUGGCCUCUUCCUGGGGAGAGUGUUUGCUCUUUCACUGUGUGGCACAUGAUCCAGAACUUUUACUUUGAGGAAAUGAGAGUGUUUCAAGCAGGCGCCCGUCGUGUAUACGUUAGCAUGGAAUAAUAGCAUGGGUCCGCGGUUUGAAGCUGUUGGUUUUUGGACCGUGGUAAUGAAAAUAGGGAUAGUUGGGGGUAUUCGUAUUUAACUGUCAGAGGUGAAAUUUUUGGAUUUUUUAAAGACGAACUACUGCGAAAGCAUCUGCCCAGGAUGUUUUUAUUGAUCAAGAACGAAAGUUAGGGGAUUGAAGACGAUCAGAUUCCGUCCUAGUCUUAACCUUAAACCAUUCCGACUAGAGAUUGGGGUCGUCAGAAUCGUGACGCCUUCAGCACCUUGAGAGAAAUCAAAGUCUUUGGGUUCCGGGGGGAGUAUGGUCGCAAGGCUGAAACUUAAAGGAAUUGACGGAAGGGCACCACCAGGAGUGGAGCCUGCGGCUUAUAUAUGACUCAACACGGGGAAACCUGCCAGGUCCAGACAUAGUCAGGAUUGACAGAUUGAUAGCUCUUUCGAGAUUCUAUGGGUGGUGGUGCAUGGUCGUUAUUAGUUGGUGGAGUGAUUUGUCUGGUUAAUUCCGUUAACGAACGAGACCUUAUCCUGCUAAAUAGCAUCGCCAGUUUUCUGGUUGACGGAGGGUUUUUUAGAGGGGAGUUCACAGUGUAACGCGAGGAAGUGUGAGGCCAUAACAGGUUUGUGAUGUCCUUAGAUGUUCUGGGGUGCCCCCGCCGUACCCUGAGACCAUCUCCGAGUUCUCUUGCGGGUUCCGGAGGGAGUGGGCACCCUUGGGAAAGCCCUUGGUGAUGGGGAUCGAUUAUUCCAAUUGUUAUUAUUCACGGAGGAAUUCUUAGUGGCCUCGAGUCUCCAACUACCUUGGAUUACGUCCUUGCCCUUCGUCCCCUCCCUCCUUCCUUCGUACGGUUUGAUGGAUCGUGGUGAACACUUGGGAGACGCGUGGAUCCCAGUUUCUGGUGUUCAGGUGGAAACUCGAGUGAACCUUAUCAUUUAGAGGAAGGAGAAGUCGUAACAAGGUAACC
rnacentral:rRNA from 1 species